GGUACAACACAUAUAGUAUGGGAUAUCACGCCCUCGCGUGGCCUGACUGAAGACAUCUUUAUUCACGCCUUUAAGGCAGAUGAUCUGUGGUGACGUCUGGGAGGCUCCGCCUGCACAUAUAUACGUGUAACACCACAGUCAUCCUUCAGUUCUUACGCUCUUCACCUCGCUGAGAACACCUACACCGAGUCGGGCUAACUAGCUGCUGCUAGCUCAGCCUGGUCUUGUCUGUGGCUAUUGCCUGAUCGUUUUUAGCUUAACUGCCAUUGUUGGUGUUAGCCUACGGCUACCCGCGGAGCGCUAAUUUCGUUCAGCUUUUGAGUCUCGUUAUGAGCUCUAAGCCCAUGAAGGUGAAGGCGAAGUCUUCUGGUCGCCCCUGUCCUCAGGGGUGCGGCUUCUCCCUUCACGAGAAGGAUCUCCAUGAGGCUUGUCCCGUUUGCCUGGGUAUUGUCCAUGCCAGGAGGGCGUUGACUGAGCCCGAGUCGUGUGAGUCCUGUCACCGGCUUCGGAGCUUAACCCUGGGAAGGCGGGUCAAGUUUGUGGAGAAAAUUCUAGGAAAAUCCGCUGUUGCAAUGCACGAUCCCCUCCUCUCCGAGUCCAGAGACCCGGCUUCGCCCGAGUCCAGUGGUGAGGUCUUUCUGGUCGAAGGCUCAGUUGGAAACUGGGCAGACCAUGUGGAGUGUGCUGAUGGGUCAGCUGGAUUUGAGCCGGGCCCGACCGAGGGCGCUGGCCAGCCGCUAUCCGGGCUAGCUUGUUACCAGGAAGACGAUGACGUGCUGGACAUCGGCUUGGACGUGCAGGGUUUUUCGGAGGAUGAGCAGGAGCCGUUGUCUUCGGGUCAGUAUGCCGCCGCUGCUGCGCCGGUUGAUCUGGACGACACAUCCCUCCUCUCACUGUACCGCCGUGCAGCUGAGAAACUGGAAGUAGGAUGGCCCUCUCCUCCACCGGCUCAAAAACCGUCGCGGUUCUCGGGGUUUUUUCUCCCACCCGAACCGACGACUGUUAAGAACAGUUUGCCCAUGUUCCCGGAUUUUGUCGCGGAUCUAACCUCAACAUGGGACAAGCCGCUGUCCACCCGCGCCACAGUGCCCGGUUGUGGAAAGUUUCUGGACCUGGAUGGAGAUGAAAAAGCUGGAUUGGUGAACCCUCCGCCUAUGGAGGCGUCCCUGGCAGCUUAUCUGGCCCCGGCCCAGAAUCAUGGUGUCGGUAGCCCCAUCACGCUCCCAUCCAAGCACUGCAGGUUUUCAGCGUCACAGCUGGAUAGAAUUUACAGGACACAGGCAAAUACGGCUCGUGUACUGAGCUCCGUCACCAUGCUUCAGACAUAUCAAGCUAUGUGUCUGGCGGAACUCGGCUCGCGUAUGCGUCCUGACAGUCAGCUUUCUCCUCUCCUCAACGAAGCUAGCGUCGCCACAGAUUACAUCCUCCGUGUGUCCCGCUGUGCAGCGCUCUCUCUCGGUAGAGGCAUGGCUUCCACGGUGGUGGCGCAGAGGCACCUGUGGCUGACUCUCUCCGACGUUCCGGAGAGGGACAAAGCGGUUUAUCUCGACGAGCCUGUGUCGGCCAGCGGUUUGUUUGGGCAGUCCCUCGACGACAUUCAGGCUAAGUUUGAGCUGAGGAAAAAACAAACCGAAGCUUUGAGCAGCAUCAUCCCCAGGCGUGAUGCGAGGCCCAAACAACAGGGUUAUCCGCACAAACCGGCAGAGACGCUGCCGCCCUUCAUUUUUUGCCGCCAAAGAGGCCGCGUUUAAUGUUUGUUCAGGGGUCCGGUCCCGAGAGGCGCUGCACUCCCUUAACACAGUUUUCCCAAGCACAAUCCUCCCUCACACACAUGCCCAAGUAAUGGCGCCUGUUGUUCACUGAGUGAAUGUUACAAAUGUGCGUUCGUCGAGUCUGAUAGAGGUUCCGUUUUGUUCUCAAAACAUCAUAAAUCAAUCAAGUCUGGGCGGGAAAGUACUGCUGUUCCCAGCCGGCACGCUAGAGGGCGACAACCCCUCCCCCACAGUACUGGGGGUCAGUCGACUGACUGUUCGUCUCCCUCGGUGGUGCGCAUGCGCAGUCUCACUGUGGGUAGAGAGAACCGUUGCCAUGGGCUACCGUAUACAGUUCGGGGCCCGGCCGCCUCGCUUUCACACUGUAAUACACACAGUUGUAGCAGAGGAAGCAGCAGUGCUGAGGGAAGAAAUAAACAACUUGUUGAACAAGAGAGCGAUAUGAGUUGUCCCCGCUUCGGAAACGAACAAAGGUUGGUACAGCCGCUAUUUCGUUGUUCCGAAAAGAGGAGGAGGGCUCCGUCCUAUCCUAUCCUAGACUUGCGAGUGUUAAACAAAUACCUACGAACUUACAGGUGCAAGAUGCUAACACUCAGACAGCUACUGGGCGAAAUCAGACCGGGAGAUUGGUUUACAACUAUCGAUCUGACAGAUGCUUACUUUCAUGUAGCGAUUCAUCCGGACCACAGGCACUUUCUAAGGUUUGCAUUCGAGGGCAUAGCCUACGAAUACCUGGUGCUGCCGUUCGGCUUAUCACUCGCCCCCGAACAUUCACCAAAUGUGUCGAGGUGGCAUUGGCUCCACUAAGGGAGAAAGAUGUGCGCAUCUAAGCCUAUCUGGACGACUGGGUGCUAAUCGCUGAGCGCGAGCUCCAGAGAGCGAGCAGCGGCUCAGCUGUCAUUGACCCUAUCGCACAACCAAACACUGGGCUUUUCAGUAAAUUUACAGAAAAGUUCACUGACUCCGAGUCAACAGGUAUCAUUUCUCGGGCUGGAAAUAUGCUCCGUUUCAAGCCGAGCGUGUCUGUCAGAACGCAGGGUGGCUGCGUUUCACCGCUGCCUUGCACAAUUUCAGUUGGGACGCAAACUGUGUUUCCGGACGAUUUUACAGCUGACAGGCAUGAUGGCAUCUAUGAUCGCUGUAGUGCCGCUCGGACUGUUAAAAAUGAAAGCGUUUCAACGCUGGACUCAGUCUCACCGGCUGUGCGCGCAGCGUCACCUCCAGAGGAGGCUGACGAUAACUCCGUCUUGCAUGUCGGCUCUUCUCCCGUGGAGAGAACCCGGUUUUCUACAACGGGGAUCUCCGAUAGGGAGGGUGUCUUUUCACAAGGUGGUGUCCACAGACUCAUCCCUGAGGGGUCGGGGGGCUCUGUGCGAGGGCGCAGCAGUGAGAGGUGUGUGGACGCCAGCAUAAUGCAAGCUCCACAUCAAUUACCUGGAGCUAUUAGCUAUCCUAUUAGCUCUGAGGCAUUUUCGUCCGGGUCUGACGGGCCAUCAGGUUCUGAUCGGGACGGAAAAAACACAACCAUGGUUUCCUACAUAAACAAACAGGGAGGGACAUGCUCUCCCCCUGUUAAAACUGUCUCACUCUCAGUUGCUAUGGUGCAGUGUUCAUUUUCUGUCACUCAGAGCCACACAUAUUCUGGGUCACUUAAACCUUGGGCCAGACCUUCUCUCCAGGGGGGUCGUCUUGUGAGAGAGUAGAGAUUGCAUGUCAGGACCGAAAUGUACUCCCAUUUCAAAGUUCUAUUGUGGAUGUUUUAACAUUCCUUCAGGAGCGGCUGGAUAGGGGUCUCUAUUUCUCAACAAUUAAGGUCUAUUUGGCGGCUAUAUCUGCAUGCCAUGUUGGCUUAGAUGGUGUGUCGCCAGGCGCUCACCCUCUUACUAUGCACUUCCUUAAGGGAGUCCGCAGGCUGAGACCUGUGUUUAAACCCAGUGUUCCCUCAUGGGAUUUAGGGUUGGUGCUUGGGGCUCUUGGUGGACCUCAUUUGAGACUGUUGAGUCAGCAGACAUGAAAUUUCUUUCAUACAAAACUGCACUGCUACUUGCUUUGGCGAGUGGGUGACCUUCAUGCUUUGUGCAUCCCUUUUGUAUCCAGUUCACUCUGGAUGGAUCUAAGGUUACAUUGCGCCCAAAUGCAGCAUAUUUGCCUAAGAUUAUCCUCACAGCCUAUAGCUCUAUGAGUUUUGAACUACUGAGCUUCUGCCGUCCUCCAUUUGCAUCUGAGGAGCAGAGGAGGUUGCAUUCCUUGUGCCCUGUGCGUGCACUACGCACUUACAUAGACCGCACUCAGAGUGUGCGUUUAUGUUACCAGUUGUUUGUCUGUUUUGCUAAUCCAGCCUAAGGCAAGGCACUGUCUAAACAGCAGCUUUCCUGCUGGAUUGUGGAGGCUAUCUCCUUAGCAUACGGCAGCAGGGGUCUUCCGUUGCCCCAAGGUGUGAGGGCACAUUCAACCAGGGGAAUGGCAGCCUCUUGGGCCUUGUUUAAAGGGGUUUCUGUGAGUGAUAUCUGCACUGCAGCCAGUUGAUCAUCACCGCACAGUUUUGUUCGGUUUUAUUGUUUGGAUUGGACAGCCCUUUCAGUGGCUCACUCUGUCCUUUCUGCUGGGUCUACAGUGCACUAAAGUUUUGGAGGUUUGACUUCGGUUCGGUGGCUGCUCUGUGGGGCGUGUAUAUAUGUCCCAUACUAUAUGUGUUGUACCGAGUGAAUUGACUGAAAGGGAACGAAAUGUUAUGAAUAUAACUUCUGUUCCCUGAAGGAGAGGAACGAGGUACAACACUAGGUUGCCCCACUGCGCAGCUAGGCUCGGUGAAGAGCGGCUAUCGAACUGAAGGAUGACUGUGGUGUUACACGUAUAUAUGUGCAGGCGGAGCCUCCCAGACGUCACCACAGAUCAUCUGCCUUAAAGGCGUGAAUAAAGGUGUCUUCAGUCAGGCCACGCGAGGGCGUGAUAUCCCAUACUAUAUGUGUUGUACCUCGUUCCUCUCCUUCAAGGAACAGAAGUUAUAUUCAUAACAUUUCGUUUUCUUUUCUCGGUCGCUUUUCUGGAUACAGAGGAGGAAGAGAGAACUGCGAGUGGAGGAUCUAUGUGGAUAUUUUCCAUAAACAAGGUGUAAACUCUUGAUGUGAGGCACCAUCUGGAGCUGUGAUGUUAUUUUUUAAAGGACUUCCAGGAGCCCGGACUCCGGCCGUUCAUUGAAGCUGGGAGAAGUAGAAGUUUUAUUUUCCAGAGGAGAGCUCCUACUGAAGGGAAUGCAGCUGUAGUUGUAAGGACUGUCUUCCUCGAUUUCGCAGUGCUGAUGUUGC